rnacentral:lncRNA from 1 species
GGGUGGCGUGGGGGUAGGAAUAUAUAGCCUGCAGGAUUGUUAUCAGCUCAGAGAGUGCUUUGAAUGAUCCCGGGCUCUAUAUAAGCAUCACACAGUGCGAUCAAUGACAAAAAAAACAGCUGGAUGAGAUCGUCCCAUGCGAAGCAAUGGGAUUGCUUAACUAAGACUAGGCUCGGGGACAGGAUUGUACUCGUAGAAGGAUUCUCCUCUGUUGUCCCAGGUGGCCCAUGAGGACAAAUGCUUGGUGCAUACCUGGAAGGCCAGGAACUCUUCUUGAGGGUGAGCAGAAGCAGCUGGAGACCCUGGAGGACCCAGAAGAUGAUGAGGGAGAAGAAGCUCCUGCUCUCCCCUCAGGCUUAUUGGAGGCUUCUCCAGAUCUUCAGGGGAUGGAUUCUUUUCUACAGCGGAAUCGGGGAGCCUUUCAUCCUUGGAGUCGGGACAAAGCAGAUGAUGCACAGGAGGAGGAAGAAAAACUCCACAGGACAUCCCCAGAAAGAGUGGAGGAUGAAAAGGAGAACUGUGGGAAGAGAGAUGAAUCACAGAGGGGGAAGGCAAAUGAGGCAAAUGUACUUUCUAACUUUUUCUCAGAAUUUGCUACAUUUUCUGUUCAAAAGGAUUAGAACAUUUAUAGGGGGGUAUAGAAAUCACCCCCAAAUUAUUUUUCUGGAAUCUCUGGCUUUCUCCAUAAUCCAGCGCAUGUUAGCAAUUUGGUCUCUAGUUCCUCUGCCCCUACAAAUUUCAGUUUGUCACACUAAGACCGAAAAACGGAUUCCUUAAAAUCCUCAGACUUCUCGUUCAGGUCCACCUAAAACAUCUAGCACUAAGAUUGGAAAUCUGAUUCCUUUAAAUCCUUGGACUUCUGUUGGUUAAGAAGGUGUUAACCCAGAUCACGAAUGAUUGUGAUCUACUGGUUUCUCAGCACAGAAAGGGAGGCAGCAGGAAAUUGGUUCAUCGAUAGAUAUUUUAUUUUGCAAAU